UACGUAGGAGGCAAGCGUUGUUCGGAAUUACUGGGCGUAAAGCGCGCGCAGGCGGCCUUUAAGUCUGACGGUGAAAUGCCGGGGCUCAACCCCGUGCCCGCCGCGGAUACUGGGAGGCUGGAGACAUGUAGAGGCAAGCGGAAUUCCGGGUGUAGCGGUGGAAUGGCGUAGAGAUCCGGAAGAACACCGGAGGCGAAGGCGGCUUGCUGGGCAUUGUCUGACGCUGAGGCGCGAAAGCGUGGGGAGCGAACAGG
rnacentral:rRNA from 1 species